AGAGUUUGAUCAUGGCUCAGAGCGAACGCUAGCGGCGGGCCUAACACAUGCAAGUCGAGCGGGGACCUUCGGGUCCUAGCGGCGAACGGGUGAGUAACACGUAGGUCACGUAUCCUCAGGUGGGGAACAACCGUGGGAAACCAUGGCUAAUACCGCAUACGGCCCUUCGGGGUCAAAGCCUUCGGGCGCCAGAGGAGCGGCCUGCGUCCCAUUAUUUAGUCCUAGUUGGUGAGGUAACGGCUCACCAAGGCUGCGAUGGGUAGCUGGUCUGAGAGGACGAUCAGCCACACUGGGACUGAGACACGGCCCAGACUCCUACGGGAGGCAGCAGUGGGGAAUCUUGCGCAAUGCGCGAAAGCGUGACGCAGCAACGCCGCGUGGGGGAAGAAGGCCUUCGGGUUGUAAACCCCUUUCAGGAGGGACGAAGCCCGGGCGGUUAAUAGCCGACCCGGGUGACGGUACCUCCAGAAGAAGCCCCGGCUAACUACGUGCCAGCAGCCGCGGUAAUACGUAGGGGGCAAGCGUUGUCCGGAAUCAUUGGGCGUAAAGCGCGUGUAGGCGGUCCGGUAAGUCGGCUGUGAAAGUCCAGGGCUCAACCCUGGGAUGCCGGUCGAUACUGCCGGACUAGAGUUCGGAAGAGGCGAGUGGAAUUCCCGGUGUAGCGGUGAAAUGCGCAGAUAUCGGGAGGAACACCAAUGGCGAAGGCAGCUCGCUGGGACGUUACUGACGCUGAGACGCGAAAGCGUGGGGAGCAAACAGGAUUAGAUACCCCCGUAGUCC
rnacentral:rRNA from 1 species